rnacentral:misc_RNA from 1 species
AUGACUUUGAAACUUGAAAUUCAUUGAAUUGAUAUGUGCAACAGAUCACAGAAAAGCCAAGUAGGUAUCAAAAUUCUGCUAAUUUCCGCAACAGCUUACAGGAGUUACGCUCGAUUAACAGCCGGAAAACGAAAUUAACAAGACGUUGAAGUCAACUGGAACACAACACAGUGGGUCAAGAAGAUACCUUGCUGAUUAUUCCGGCACCUUAGUCGUCGGAGAUUACAGUAUAGCGGCGAG